UGCUCUGUGGCUUAGUUGGCUGAAGCGCCGAUAUAGUGAAUACGGAGUCGUGGGUUCGAAUCCCACCAGAACGU
rfam:Aedes albopictus isolate Foshan contig33476, whole genome shotgun sequence.